rnacentral:rRNA from 1 species
AACGGCUACCACAUCCAAGGAAGGCAGCAGGCGCGCAAAUUACCCAAUCCCGACACGGGGAGGUAGUGACAAUAAAUAACAAGCCAGGGCCCAUAUGGGUUUUGGCAUUGGAAUGAGUACAAUGUAAACACCUUAACGAGGAACAAUUGGAGGACAAGUCUGGUGCCAGCACCCGCGGUAAUUCCAGCUCCAAUAGCGUAUAUUAAAGUUGUUGCAGUUAAAAAGCUCGUAGUUGAAAUUGGGCGCGGCUGGCCGGUCCGCCUCACGGCGUGUACUGGUCUCGGCCGUGCUUUCCUCUUGGGCUGCCCGAGAGCGCUUUGUUGUGCGCUCGGGAUGGCCCAGGACUUUUACUUUGAAAAAAUUAGAGUGUUCAAAGCAGGCAUUUGCUCGGAUACAUUAGCAUGGAAUAAUAGAAUAGGACGUCGAUCCUAUUUUGUUGGUUUCUAGGACCGCCGUAAUGAUUAAUAGGGAUAGUUGGGGGCAUUAGUAUUCAAUUGUCAGAGGUGAAAUUCUUGGAUUUAUUGAAGACUAACUACUGCGAAAGCAUUUGCCAAGGAUGUUUUCAUUAAUCAAGAACGAAAGUUAGGGGAUCGAAGACGAUUAGAUACCGUCGUAGUCUUAACCAUAAACUAUGCCGACUAGGGAUCGGGCGCAGUUUCAAACGACUCGCUCGGCACCUUAAGAGAAAUCAAAGUUUUUGGGUCUGGGGGGAGUAUGGUCGCAAGGCUGAAA